rnacentral:rRNA from 1 species
GACGUAGGGCGCGAGCGUUGUCCGGAUUAUUGGGCGUAAAGAGCUCGUAGGCGGCUUGUCGCGUCGACCGUGAAAACUUGGGGCUUAACCCUGAGCUUGCGGUCGAUACGGGCAUGACUGGAGUUCGGUAGGGGAGACUGGAAUUCCUGGUGUAGCGGUGAAAUGCGCAGAUAUCAGGAGGAACACCGGUGGCGAAGGCGGGUCUCUGGGCCGAUACUGACGCUGAAGAGCGAAAGCGUGGGGAGCGAACAGG